UACGGGGGGGGCAAGCGUUGUUCGGAAUUACUGGGCGUAAAGGGCUCGUAGGUGGCCAACUAAGUCAGACGUGAAAUCCCUCAGCUUAACUGGGGAACUGCGUCUGAUACUGGAUGGCUUGAGUUUGGGAGAGGGAUGCGGAAUUCCAGGUGUAGCGGUGAAAUGCGUAGAUAUCGGGAGGAACACCAGUGGCGAAGGCGGCUUCCUGGCCUGUUCUUGACGCUGAGGCGCGAAAGCUAGGGGAGCAAACGGG
rnacentral:rRNA from 1 species